UUCUUCACGGGCCAGCACUCCGCCCCAUACAACAUCGCAGGUCUAACCACGGCUCUGUAGAAUUUCCCCUUGAGUUUGUGUGGAAUUUUCUUGUCACGCAGGACCCCUGAAGCAAGCCUCCACUUCGACCACCCUGCUCCUAUCCGUUGGGUGACGUCCCCGUGAAUCUCCCCGUCCCCCUGAAUCACAGACCCAAGAUAACGGACACUAUCC
rnacentral:lncRNA from 1 species